AUCAACCCAACCAAUCCACAAGAUCAUGUUUUGGCUUGGUUUGAGGAAUAUUAGGACACGGCAAAAAGUUAAGCUACGUCGGGUCUCGUUAGUACUUGGAUGGGUGACCGCUUGGGAAUACGGGAUGCUGUUGGCA
rnacentral:rRNA from 1 species